rnacentral:rRNA from 1 species
GAGAGACAACAGGGAUUGCCCCAGUAACGGCGAGUGAAGCGGCAACAGCUCAAAUUUGAAAUCUGGCUCUCGGGCCCGAGUUGUAAUUUGUAGAGGAUGCUUUUGGUGAGGUGCCUUCCGAGUUCCCUGGAACGGGACGCCAUAGAGGGUGAGAGCCCCGUCUGGUUGGACGCCGAACCUCUGUAAAGCUCCUUCGACGAGUCGAGUAGUUUGGGAAUGCUGCUCUAAAUGGGAGGUAUAUGUCUUCUAAAGCUAAAUACCGGCCAGAGACCGAUAGCGCACAAGUAGAGUGAUCGAAAGAUGAAAAGAACUUUGAAAAGAGAGUUAAACAGUACGUGAAAUUGUUGAAAGGGAAGCGCUUGUGACCAGACUUGGGCUUGGUUGAUCAUCCGGGGUUCUCCCCGGUGCACUCUUCCGGCCCAGGCCAGCAUCAGUUCGCCCUGGGGGACAAAGGCAUCGGGAACGUGGCUCUCUCCGGGGAGUGUUAUAGCCCGUUGCGUAAUACCCUGUGGCGGACUGAGGUUCGCGCAUUCGCAAGGAUGCUGGCGUAAUGGUCAUCAGUGACCCGUCUUGAAACACGGACCAAGGAGUCGUCUUCGUAUGCGAGUGUUCGGGUGUCAAACCCCUACGCGAAAUGAAAGUGAACGCAGGUGAGAGCUUCGGCGCAUCAUCGACCGAUCCUGAUGUUUUCGGAUGGAUUUGAGUAAGAGCAUACGGGGCCGGACCCGAAAGAAGGUGAACUAUGCCUGUGUAGGGUGAAGCCAGAGGAAACUCUGGUGGAGGCUCGCAGCGGUUCUGACGUGCAAAUCGAUCGUCAAACAUGGGCAUGGGGGCGAAAGACUAAUCGA